CCCCCUCCCCCGAUUCCCUUCCUCCUCGAUUCUUCUCUCCCUCGCGCGAGUUCCCUUCUCCCGAGCCCUCUCUCGCGACUUCUUCUCGCUUGAUCGCCGGUCGCCACGAGCUCAUCACCGGCAAUAAUCCCUCCUCCAGCGUGCCUAGGCCGAGUCUCCCUCCUCCCUCUCCUUCUCGAGGCGUGAGGUCUUCGUCCUCUUUCUUUCUUGCGGGCGAUCGACGGUGAUCCGGCAGAGCUAGGGCACGACAGGGGGGAGUUGAUUCGCAUCUUUCUUGGUGGAUCGAGCCCCUCUCAGCUUUUCUAUUUGAUCUAUUCAUUGGAGGGGGUUGCGAAUCGUCUCCAGUUGAGGUGGAUCGCGCGGAUCGAUUGAGAGGAAACAGAGGAUCCGCGUGCUGUGGACGUUUCCUAUUGCCGGUCACUGCCCUCUCCACUUCUUGAAGUUGUGGAGGGUUGCUGCUCGGGUUCACCAUUGGAUAGAUCACCAAUGUCGGCAGAGGUCAGUAGCCCUUGUUCUUCACAGUGCAUUUGGAGGGGAAGUUGCUACGAAUCUGGAUUUGGGCUCCAGCAGUGAUUUCCUUCAGCAACAAAUCAUGAUCUGGAGCAUCUGGAUUGAGCUUCUUGGCAGUGAGCAUCACACCUGUGGCUUCCAACAGUGGGUUGCUCGGAUCGCAAGCUAACAGUGGAGUGCAAUGGAAUUGGGAUUUUGGAUAUGGGACGAUCAUCACGAUGUGUGAUUUAUUUUAUCACGAUUGACAGAUUUAAGGCGGGUAUUUCUUCCUUGGCUCUAUGUAGAUUUUUAUUGAGCUUAGUGCAUGGUUUUCUUUGAUGGAUUAGGUUGUUUUACCUUAUAUCGUGUUCGUAUGUCGCUUUCCUGCUUGAUACUGAUCCUUGACCCUUGUGAUGAUCUAUUUAAUUCUUAUACAGUCUGCACUUUGGUUAUCUUUACUCUGUGGCAUUUUUACAUGUAGAGUAUGUAUGGUAGGGGAUACCUCGUUGGUGGCAUUCAUAUGAUGAUUGUCCAUUUGUAUGUCGUGUAUACAUUUGUCUGGUGAGAUGAUUGGGGGAAUUGUGUUGAUUGUAUAUUUGUUGUAUAUACACGUGUCUGAUGUGUUUACCGGAGGAUACAUGUUGAUUGUAUUUAUGUACAUGUGUCUUGUGGGAUUAUUGGAGAUUUUUAGUUGAUUGUACAUAUGUAGUUGUGUACAUAUGUUUGGGGGGAUAUGUGGAGGUACCACGACGAUUAUAUUCUUGUUGUGCAGUGUUUAUGUGGUUUAGAGGUUGCAUGGAUGAUGACGGUGUUUGUAUCAUGAUUAUAUAUAUAUAUAUCAUGUUCAUCAUUCAUUGCAUCUGACGACUAGUCUCCUUUGUGGUUGAGAGGGUCGUCAGUCGUUUAUAGCUAUCCUCUCGACCACUGAUGGAGAGUGGUAGGAGUGGAGCUAGUCCUGUCGCGCUCAUUCAGCCGCUCAGUGUUCUGUCAGCCUCGACCACUCUGGAGUAGUGGGUCUUGAGGGUACAGUAGUCAG